rnacentral:rRNA from 1 species
CCUACGGGUGGCAGCAGUGAGGAAUAUUGGUCAAUGGGCGCGAGCCUGAACCAGCCAAGUAGCGUGAAGGAUGACUGCUCUACGGGUUGUAAACUUCUUUUAUAAAGGAAUCAAGUGAGGCACGUGUGCCUUUUUGUAUGUCCUUUAUGCAUAAGGAUCGGCUAACUCCGUGCCCGCAGCCGCGGUAAUACGGAGGUUCCGAGCGUUAUCCGGAUUUAUUGGGUUUAAAGGGAGCGUAGAUGGGUUGGUAAGUCAGUUGUGAAAGUUUGCGGCACAACCGUAAAAUUGCAAUUGAUACUGGCUGCCUUGAGUACAGUUGAGGUAGGCGGAAUUCGUGGUGUAGCGGUGAAAUGCUUAGAUAUCACGAAGAACUCCGAUUGCGAAGGCAGCCUACUAAACUGCCACUGACAUUGAUGCUCGAAAGUGUGGGUAUCAAACAGGAUUAGAUACCCCAGUAGUC